GUGAAUUAUAUGAAUAAUAAAUUUAAAUAAAUUAUAAAAUAGUAUUUAGAAUAUAGUUGAUCUCAAAAUUUUGGCACUAUUGCAUUUCACGGAUUUGGAAUUGUAAAUUGCAAAAUAUGCUACACGUUCAAUAUUUAUCACGAGAUUCACGAUCCAUAAUCUGGAUUUCAAAAUAUUUAUAUACUUUGUGAUAUGGAUCAUAAUCCAUCAUAUUGUAACGGAUUUCCAAAUCUGUCGUUUAGGUUGAAACUCUGCCCUUAGUUCGAUCACUGGAUUGUCAAAUAAAAGUUAAACUUCAAUGGCUACAUAUAUGCUCAUCUUGUUUUAUAAUUCCUUAUAACUUAACAGUUUAUUACUCAAUACUCUACUUUACAACUGUAAUUUAUAACUUGUUCACAUUUUACUCGACAACUCUAUCCUUAGAAUUGUCCUUACUCGACAACUCCCUUAUUAGAACUGUGUCUUGCUGCCAAUCCGUCGGCCCCUAUAUAGUCGCCGGCAGAACAUUGCCACUCAAACAUUCUGGAACGACGACGAUCGAUGUCUGGAUAAAUCCGGUAAUUUAUCGAUUUCGUUUGACGAUUCCAGCCUGUUCUGGUACCACCUUCGUUACAACCCAGCAAGUCAUGGGUACUGAAACUCCAACACAUUCAAAGAAAUUUUAAUAACACCACUACAUACACACAUACGAAACAAAGGGUAAAAUGUGCAUAAACAUUUAACUCAACUCUUCUCUCGUACAUCACCCCGAAUGAGAGAAAGAAACAACCAAAGUUCUCGUGUGUUUGAUUGAACAAGUUUUGUUUUGAGCUAUAUCAUGGCUGCUUGUGAAGUAUUAUUUUGCGUGUUUUAUUUAAUUCAGUGAUCUGCAGCCUAAUUAAAGUUUAAAUUUUUGAAGCACGCAUUUUUAAAUAAGUAAAACGUAAAAUAAAAGUUUUCUAAAGCCAAAAGAUGGAAUUGAAUAGGGUGAUACAGUAAUACUUCAUUGUACUGUCAAUUCGAAGCACGCAAUAGAAGCUACGCCAACAAUGGUCAACAUCAAGGGCGAAACCAUUGAAUACAUAUUUCAAACCUCAUACUGCGCGUUAAAGGUACGCAACCUAAUCGGUGCCACUUAUAGUAACAGCAUAGAACUUUCGAAGCGAUGAAAUAUGUGCUGCAAGCAAAUUCAGAACUAUGGAUGCAAACGCUGCUACACGGAACAUAAAUCAUUGACACACCAAAUACUAGGUUUAAUGUCACUUUUUUACGUGCAAUUAAACCUUUUGGUUUAGGUGAUUUUGAAACCGUUUAUCAUCGUGACGUGUGUCAACAGGGCAUUGCCAAUGAGCAAGAGGGCAUAUGCAUAUGCAGUAUUUUUGCACUUACCGGCACCUCAGUUGGCCAUACCAGCAACUGAAACAUAGAAAUCAAAGGGUAAAUUUAAGUGAAUGUUUGUGAUUAUAAAAAUUUAAAAACUUUUUCUAUGUUUAAUUAGGAGGAAUUUUUUGAUUAAUUUUCACCUUGUAUUGAGGAAUCAUAACGUUGUUGUAUCGUUUUACAAGGAUAUGGAUUCACCGAAAUUAGUUCAAUGGAAAUACUACAGCAAAAGCAUGGAUGUUAAGACUUGAACGGUGCCGUGCUAGAUUUAGAUUUCCUGAAACAUAAGAUGAAUCUAAUACUAGUGAAAUUAAUGAAAGAACAGAUCUUAUAAAAACUCCUAAAGAAACCAAAAUAGUCCUCACAUAAUGUGCGCAGCUUACACAUCCAGGCCGCUCGGGGUAUUUGACAUUUGCCACUCUUCCUCCAGCCUUUGUCAGAUAGCAAAAAUUGCAUAAUGUGCGCAGUUUACACAUCCAGGCCGCUCGGGGUAUUUGACAUUUGCCACUCUUCCUCCAGCCUUUGUCAGAUAGCAAAAAUUGUUCAAAUAUUCAAUACGUUUACAUAUGUAUAUUGUGUAGUACGAUAAUACAUGUAUAAAGUAAAUAUAAUAAUAAACACCUAAAUGGCAUGAUAUUUUAAAUAAAUAUAAAAUAUAAUUAAUGAUUUUGUUAUUAUAUUCUCAUUUGGGAUUUUGGUAGAACUAACCGAAAAUAGCGGGUAUAGUUUCUAGGCUUCUGGGGGUCGCAGUACUGAAAGUGCACGUGCAGUUUUCGUUCGAAGUUUUGGGUCUUUCAUCCGUGAUUGUACCAAUAGCAUUCCCAAAAUUGUGCAAGAGGUAUAUAUACAUUGCUAAAUGAUGAAUGUAAUGUGCAAGAAAGGGAUGAACGAUCACACGUACACAAGAGUUUCGUGUACUUUUAUCAAUUCGCCCUU